rnacentral:rRNA from 1 species
AUUGAACGCUGGCGGCAUGCCUUACACAUGCAAGUCGAACGGUAACGGGCCUUCGGGCGCCGACGAGUGGCGAACGGGUGAGUAAUGCAUCGGAACGUACCUUUCAGUGGGGGAUAACGUAGCGAAAGUUACGCUAAUACCGCAUAUUCUGUGAGCAGGAAAGCAGGGGAUCGCAAGACCUUGCGCUGAUUGAGCGGCCGAUGUCAGAUUAGCUAGUUGGUGGGGUAAAGGCCUACCAAGGCAACGAUCUGUAGUUGGUCUGAGAGGACGACCAGCCACACUGGGACUGAGACACGGCCCAGACUCCUACGGGAGGCAGCAGUGGGGAAUUUUGGACAAUGGGCGCAAGCCUGAUCCAGCAAUGCCGCGUGCAGG